AUGCUCCUAUGUUGUGUUAAGUGUUGGCAGAUAUCUGGACCCCGCCCUAGCGGUCCGGAACUUAGACCCCGAAUUUCUCUCUCCCCAUACGAAAUUCGGGGUUUUUUUUGCCCGAAA
rnacentral:sRNA from 1 species